UCAUGGAUCUGAAACUUAUAAAUAGUCU
rnacentral:sRNA from 1 species